rnacentral:rRNA from 1 species
UGGGGAAUAUUGCACAAUGGAGGGAACUCUGAUGCAGCGACGCCGCGUGAACGAAGAAGGCUUUCGAGUCGUAAAGUUCUUUUAUAUGGGAAGAUAAUGACGGUACCAUAAGAAAAAGCCCCGGCUAACUACGUGCCAGCAGCCGCGGUAAUACGUAGGGGGCUAGCGUGGUCCGGAAUCACUGGGCGUAAAGGGUUCGCAGGCGGAAAUGCAAGUCAGGUGUAAAAGGCAGUAGCUUAACUACUGUAAGCAUUUGAAACUGCAUAUCUUGAGAAGAGUAGAGGUAAGUGGAAUUUUUAGUGUAGCGGUGAAAUGCGUAGAUAUUAAAAAGAAUACCGGUGGCGAAGGCGACUUACUGGGCUCAUUCUGACGCUGAGGAACGAAAGCGUGGGUAGCAAACAGG